rnacentral:piRNA from 1 species
UGGGAGUAUGUGGACACCCUUCUGGGGGAA